GACGAACGCUGGCGGCGUGCUUAACGCAUGCAAGUCGAACGGAAAGGCCCUGCUUGCAGGGUACUCGAGUGGCGAACGGGUGAGUAACACGUGGGUGAUCUGCCCUGCACUUCGGGAUAAGCCUGGGAAACUGGGUCUAAUACCGGAUAGGAGCCAUUUUUAGUGUGAUGGUUGGAAAGUUUUUUCGGUGUAGGAUGAGCUCGCGGCCUAUCAGCUUGUUGGUGGGGUAAUGGCCUACCAAGGCGGCGACGGGUAGCCGGCCUGAGAGGGUGGACGGCCACAUUGGGACUGAGAUACGGCCCAGACUCCUACGGGAGGCAGCAGUGGGGAAUAUUGCACAAUGGGCGCAAGCCUGAUGCAGCGACGCCGCGUGGGGGAUGACGGCCUUCGGGUUGUAAACUCCUUUCGCUAGGGACGAAGCUUUUUGUGACGGUACCUAGAUAAGAAGCACCAGCUAACUACGUG
rnacentral:rRNA from 1 species